GACGGGGCCCGCACAAGCGGAGGAGCAUGUGGUUUAAUUCGAUGAUACGCGAGGAACCUUACCUGGGCUCGAACGUAAGAUGACUGUAGGUGAAAGCUUACAUCUCUUCGGAGCAUUUUACGAGGUGCUGCAUGGUUGUCGUCAGCUCGUGCCGUGAGGUGUCGGGUUAAGUCCCAUAACGAGCGCAACCCUACCUUUAGUUGCCAUCAGGUUAAGCUGGGGACUCUAAAGGAACUGCCUACGCAAGUAGUGAGGAAGGCGGGGAUGACGUCAAAUCAGCACGGCCCUUACGUCCAGGGCUACACACGUGCUACAAUGGCCGAUACAGAGGGCAGCUACCUGGUGACAGGAUGCAAAUCUCCAAAGUCGGUCUCAGUUCGGAUCGGAGUCUGCAACCCGACUCCGUGAAGUUGGAUUCGCUAGUAAUCGCGCAUCAGCCAUGGCGCGGUGAAUACGCUCCCGGGCCUU
rnacentral:rRNA from 1 species